GAUGAACGCUGGCGGCGUGCCUAAUACAUGCAAGUCGAGCGAACGGACGAGAAGCUUGCUUCUCUGAUGUUAGCGGCGGACGGGUGAGUAACACGUGGAUAACCUACCUAUAAGACUGGGAUAACUUCGGGAAACCGGAGCUAAUACCGGAUGAUAUUUUGAACCGCAUGGUUCAAAAGUGAAAGACGGUCUUGCUUUCACUUAUAUAUGUAUCCGCGCUGCAUUAGCUAGUUGGUAAGGUAACGCCUUACCAAGGCAACGAUGCAUAGCCGACCUGAGAGGGUGAUCGGCCACACUGGAACUGAGACACGGUCCAGACUCCUACGGGAGGCAGCAGUAGGGAAUCUUCCGCAAUGGGCGAAAGCCUGACGGAGCAACGCCGCGUGAGUGAUGAAGGUCUUCGGAUCGUAAAACUCUGUUAUUAGGGAAGAACAUAUGUGUAAGUAACUGUGCACAUCUUGACGGUACCUAAUCAGAAAGCCACGGCUAACUACGUG
rnacentral:rRNA from 1 species